rnacentral:rRNA from 1 species
ACCGGAGGCUCGAGUGGUGGCCACUAUUACUGGGCUUAAAGCGUUCGUAGCUGGCUUGUUAAGUCUGUGGGGUACUCUUCAGGCUCAACUGGAGGGCGUCUUUGGGAUACUGGCAGGCUUGGGACCAGAAGAGAUGGCUGGUAUUCCAGGUGUACUUGAGAAAUCCGGUGCUUUGUGGGGGACCUCCUGUGGCGAAGGCGUUUUCCCAGAACAGCUUUUUUUGUGAGGAACGAAAGCUGGGGGAGCAAACCU